rnacentral:lncRNA from 1 species
AUGGAACUUUUCCAGAAAUAUAUAAGGAGAAGAGAUGCUGAGAUGCUGCCAGGAUCAGCACCUCCAGUGGCUGCCUCCAGCUCAGCUCCUGAGGAAGAACCAUGCAUCUGAUGAAGCUCUGCUUGCCGUAGUGUCACACAUGGAUGUUUCAGCUUUCAGCUGGAUGGUUUUGGAAGCAGUAAGGUAGGAGGUGUACUACACCUUCUGAUCAUUGGUAGCUAACCUGGCUUUUUCUAACCUUUAUCUUUUUCUGCUUUUUACCAAAUAUAAUGACAGCUUUUUUCUCUCUUAGGCUUUUUUCCUCACAAAUUGCUUUUUUUUUACCACCGACCGCCGCCAUUUUUCAUCCCGCUCAACAUUAAACCGCUAACUUUUUAUCAUCAC